CCUACGGGGGGCUGCAGUGGGGAAUAUUGGACAAUGGGGGGAACCCUGAUCCAGCCAUGCCGCGUGUGUGAAGAAGGCCUUUUGGUUGUAAAGCACUUUAAGCGAGGAGGAGGCUACCGAGAUUAAUACUCUUGGAUAGUGGACGUUACUCGCAGAAUAAGCACCGGCUAACUCUGUGCCAGCAGCCGCGGUAAUACAGAGGGUGCAAGCGUUAAUCGGAGUUAGUAGGCGGACAGCUCACGUAGAUGGGAAAUCCCCGAGCUUAACUUGGGAAUUGCAUUCGAUACUGGUUGGCUAGAGUAUGGGAGAGGAUGGUAGAAUUCCAGGUGUAGCGGUGAAAUGCGUAGAGAUCUGGAGGAAUACCGAUGGCGAAGGCAGCCAUCUGGCCUAAUACUGACACUGAGGUGCGAAAGCAUGGGGAGCAAACAGGAUUAGAUACCCUUGUAGUC
rnacentral:rRNA from 1 species